CGGGAAGCUUUAUCACAACUG
rnacentral:misc_RNA from 1 species